UCCUAGCCUCAAGGCGGGCCCGUGGGCCGCCAGCACCUUGAGCGGCUUGGGGCGUUGCUGCCCAGGGGCCAGGGAGCCCUCCCGGGCUGCCCUACCGGGAGCUGCCGGCAGCAGGGCACCGGCUUUCCGUGGUUUGGGGGUGAUAGGUCUUGGAAAUUUCCCCACAGAGGUGUAGAACAGUUUCCACCUCUCCGUUCCAGUGGUUGAAACCCACUACUGUAGAGGCAAGGAGGGAAGGAAGGAAAUCCCAGACUGGUGAGUAGUUUCUCUUCCUCAGUGUGAGUCCCAAAUUACAGUGAAUAGAUCCAAGUUCCUCACAGUCUGGUUCUGCUCCACGGUGUAAAAAAUUUCCUAAUGCUGAUAGCCCAGAAGGAGACAACAUCCUUUAUAAAAUUCAUCACACAACUCUUACUGUCCUUUCUGGUCCUCAUAAAACAUUGGGGCUAUGCUUUUACACCACUCUGAGCCACCUGCUUUGUGACAUCUAUGCUAAGUUCUCCCCAUUUGAUCUGGAAGUGCAUGGUCCUUUAUGCCUUCCUAGAUCAACCUGUAAUUAAGCCCUCAGGGAACAUUAUUCCUGAGCCAUAACAAUGGUCUUUGCCUCUUUAUCUCCUCUAAUACCCUACUUGGCUUUCUGUACAUGGCAAUAACUCAUUAUGCAAUUCCAAGAGGGUUUAAUGGAUCCAUCAUGAUAAGUUAUCUGUGCAGUUCUUGAAAUCAACAGGUAUGCACUAGUUUGCAUUUGGGGAAAGGGUUAGUUGCUGCUAGGGCUGGGAAACUAGCUGGGCAAUACCCUACCACAAAACCCUUUCAGUGUUACUGGUUAGAUACCUGCCAGGGUCUCCUGAGAAGGUGGGAAAAGUGCCACUUCCACAUUUAGGAAUGUUCUAAGAAGUUCAGGACUAAGUGCAAGCCAACUAGAUCCCAAAAAUUUCUAGUUAGGAUGUCCUGCAGGACAAAGGUGGUGUGUGUAAAACGCGCCUUGGAAAGAGGACAGAGUGUGACUGAGGUUUUCUGAGAGCCUGUGCCUUACGUGGACAGCACAGUGCAAAGAGCUACUUCUAAGGUGGCCAGGUUCCAUCUCAAGGGGGGAAGCUGAGGCACUGCAGCCUGUCUGUCAUUAUUGUGGGCAGGCUCAUCCUGCUAGACCCUGUCUGCAUGUUGCUGGGAGCUGUGGGUACCUGCAGGAGGAAGGAAAACCAGUGACCACCUCCAUGCAUCCCUGUUGUUCCCAUGUAACUGUCUUGCUACAGGAGCAGCUCCGAUCUCCUCUGUCUGUGCCAAGCACACUCUGUAGGAGGACAAGCCAAUGCCAGCUGCAUGUCUAAUCUAUAGCCAUCAUUCUGUUGUAUUUCCAACAGAGGAGCAAACACAUGGAGAGGUGGAGAAGAGUAGAGAAGAGUCUGAUGUGGCAGAGGACAUUCAGAGACCUACUUAUUUCCAGUCCCAUUCUAGCAUUCCAUGAAGAGGCUCUGCUGCCCAGCGGCUGAUUCCUAUCCCUUAACUUCUAUGCUUCUAACUUCCACUCCACAAUGUGCUUUUCCAUAAUUCCUCUUAAUCCAGCAUCUUUUGGGGAGUUUUAAGGCACAAUUUUGGCUCAUUUGCUUUGGGCUCAGAGCACAUCCAGUUUACUCAUGGGCUCUGGCAAGAGAGCAAUGUGUGCCUGGAGCUGCGCGUGAUCCCGAGCUAAGCAAAGCACGGCUGUGUCUGCGGUGCUUGUCCUGGGGGGAAGAGCAAGUGCAAGGAGCCUCUCUGGCAGGACUACACGAGCCUGAUAUGUGAUACCCUUCAACAACAACCGUGAAAGAAGGAUUGAUGGACUUGCCAUAAUUCACAGAAUGGGGGAGCUUGGGUAGGAGAAGGACUUGUGCUUCUAGGAACAGGCAGGCAAAGUGGUCCAUCACUGGCGAGGCAAGCUGGCCACACCAGGCACUCCUGCCCUGCCACAGGCACGAGCCCCCAGCACUCAUCAGGGUAACAGGCAAAGUCACCUCACUUCCAGCUUCACUGCUAGACUGGUCCUUAUGAGACUAGCCAGUGUGCUUGCACCAGAAAUUGGAGAGAGGCAGAUGGUUUUGCAAGUCCUUCCCUCCACUCCUACUCCAUAACUGACAGCAAAUAGUGUAAACACAUGAGACUUUCAAAGUCCCAUAGCUGGUCUAGCUCCCUACCCUAUUGUUCUAGUGCCUUUGCAGAUUUUAUAUGAAAACAGAUAGGAAAAUGCAUUUUCUUCCCCUUUACAUACCAGUUACUAACUAAAAAAUAAUGCUUAUUUCAUAGAAGCGAGAAGUACUAGCAGGUCUUCAGUUGAUAAUGAAUAUCCUUUAAAGAACAAAGGAAGCCGAUUAAUGGAGCCUGGAGCCUGUCACAUGUAAUUCUUGUUAGUAAUAAUUUCUGUUAGCUGUUCAUAGAAGCACAGUUCUCAAUUUCAGAGCAUAAAUGACUUAACCAGACUUUUUACGAGGACACGGUAUCUAGCAACUCUGACUGCAAAACAAUGUAAGUUUCUAGAGGCAAAGCGUUGGCUGCUGGUUGUUGUCGAUCAGUAACAAUUCAGGAGCUUUUAUAAAAUGCAGAUGUGAUCUCAGUUCUUUCUCUAGGAAACAAAAACAAUGAAGUUUCAUCCUGGCCUGACUAGCAAGUAAGGAGUACUGCCAUCCUAUCAACACAAGUUUGCCUUCUCUAGUGAAGCUCUUAAAUCACACAAAAACACCUUCAGAAGCAACUAAGGAGCUUGGGUUGCUCCAUUUGCAUCCAAGGAGUGUUACUUACGGGCUGGAAAUCUCUGUGGAGGAUGAGGAACUCCUUUGGAGGAUCAGAUACUGCUGGGAAAGGGAAAGAGAUGCUCACUUCAAAAAGCACCAGUGUCUUAGUUUUUGCUCCUGACUGUCUGCUCUGGCACGUGACCAACCUGGGAGCUGGUGAGCACUGCCUCUCAGAUCCCCAGCCAAAGGUCAGUAGCUGCAUGGUGGCCUCUGGAUUCCUUGGAUACCGACCCUUGUCAUGUGGGGAGGCAUUAACCUUUGGCCCUGAGGUAUCAGAGGAAAUUUCAAACCUGCUGGAAUAAGGAUUGGGGCAGAUCCAUCUUGGUGGCUUUCUCCGGGCAGUCAAAAAGGUAAAGAAAGGCUGCAACCAGGCCUGAAUGGACCCAUUCUUCUCAGCCAGCUGUGAACUCUUGAGGCUCAAAUUCUGCCUCUCAGCAGCCAAGGAGUAUGGGGAAUGAAUCCUGAAUGCAGACAAGGGGCGCUGAAGAACAGGAAUCUCAGUUUGCAGGAUGAACUGAGAAGCUGGAUAUCCUGGCUGAAGUCUGCCAAGGCUCAGAGGAGCACAGCAGCAUGCCAGAUCCUCUCUGGAUUUGAGCAUAUCAGCCUGCUGGCUGUCUAAUUGAUCCUAAAACUUGCACACAGAAGAAAUGUGUAAAUACUCAGAUACAAAUCAGAGGGACUGCCAUCUAUACUUAUCAAGACAGUUGUGGACUUUCUUUGAAGCUAGGAGAUGGCCCAGGUGCAUGUUUUGUAGCAGGUGGCUGAGAUCACUGGAACUGUGACAGAGCAUACAAAUUAUUACAAGGUUGCUUGACAUGGGCCUCAGGAAUGCCUUGUGGAACUUCAGCACUCAGCUCUUCCUCUGUCAUCACAGCCUUGCAGAGAGGGGUGGAUGGCUGCAUCUGGGAGUCCAUCUGAAUGAACAACUGCAGUGUCAGCACAGAUUUCUGCUACUUGAAUUAAUGGAGUGCCACUGCCAGUCACAGGUUGUCAUCCUCUGAGUAAAGCUCUCCUAGAAGGGGAUUGCUGAUGGGCACUGGUGAGAAACAUGAACUGAGGAUUUGCUUCUUGGCUGGGAUGGCAAUUGGAUGGAUGUACAUUCCAGACAUAAGGUAACCUACAGUGUCUCCUCCAGCCUCUUGCCAUCCUUUUCCUUUUUCUUUCCCCAUUUCAUCCCAGACCUCUUUUUCUCCUACAGGAAGCCACAGUGGAUCCCAGCUCCUGAUCUCCCAAUCUGAUUAGCUCUUUGCUCAUUCCCCAGUAUGACAUUCUUUGCUUCCAAUCUAUUUGGCUGGACUGCCCUUACUCCCCAAUUCCUUCUUAUGAUCCCAUUUCUCAUCUAGAAUAGGUUUGGUAUCCAGUAUCUCUGUCUGAAAAACUCUUCACAGUGCAUUUGAAUAACUCUGUUCUCUUUAUUUGAUCAUCUGUGUUGCUGGGACCCAAGGAAGGCAGACCCCUGUUUUUGUUUUGUUAACUAAACUCUUAUAGCUCAUGUCCAUCCAUAGCAAUGGGACCUCCUAGGAAAGUGUUCUGUUGAAAUCAAAGUCAUCUUUAUUAAACAUGCACCAUGACUUUUCAUAUACCUGUCACUGACACAAAAGCUGUCUUCUAUCAGCUUUCAAGUCCUUACACCAAACUUGCAAGAUGUAAGUUUUGUCACAGAAGACACCAGAAUUUUUAACCACAGCACAUUUUCCCCUACAGCCUGUCAGACACAUCAGAGAUGUCUGAGUUGUUUUACACUAGCUCCCCUUGAGAAUGUGUGUCAAGUAAAAAGUCCUGAGUGAUACCAUUUCAUAUUGUUUAGACAGGACAAUAGUAUAAAUGCAUUUAAUCUUAUAAAAAGCAUUCUAAUAUCUUUAGUGACCACUAUGCAGACUUUUAUUCCUUAGAGAAGAUAAGGAAUGUCCUUGCAAACAAGAAAAAUUAGAUCAUGUUGUGCCAAGGCCUAUGCUCUAAGUAGUUCAAGGUGACCAGUGUGCAGCUCAGACUGUUACAUAAAACAAUUUGCAAAGAUCAGUGAAAAUUAAACACAAAAUGACAGCUUCUUCAAGAAAACAAGACCCAGUGAAAAGCUCCAAGGGCUAUGCUGAAGUCAUGUCCACUAAGGGUAAAAAAAGUGGCCUAGACUCAGUAGUAGUCUAUCAGAGUAGCUGAGAGAAGACUCUCAGUCAGGUGCAAGAAUUAUGACACUGAUUACGUGGGUGAUUGUGAUGAGAUUUAUUGCUAACACAGUAUCUAAAUGUUGCCACUGCAGUGUGUAAUAUAAGCAGGUCUGAAGGGCUGUAACAUGGACAGGGUCAGCUGCAAACAUGCAGGUUUGCAGAAAGCACAAUUGCAAAGCAGCAAAGCACCCAUGGAGCUACAUGAGGAUUUUAUCUCCACCUGUUACUCACCUGUCCAAACCUGAGUGUUCCCAUCCUCAGCUGGAUGUAGCCUGCAGGUGUCCCUGCAGGGGUGGGAUCCACCUGGAAGCUGCCCUGCAGCCUAGGGAGGUCACUUUGCCAUUUGGCCCAGGCUCCAGGAGCAUUUUGUACCCUUUGCAGGGCCAUGUGUACCAAGAUCAAUCACAGCCAUCACCAGUGCCCCACCCAUGGAAUGCAUUAAUUAUGCAAGCAUCCAGACAGUUCCUCCUGCAAUUCCCACCUGGUGUUCUUAUCUUAGGACAGAUCAUAUUCCAAGACUGCAUGGGAGAGGGGGUUGGUGGAUGUGGAGGACACACUCCAAGACUUGACUAUUUUUUUGUCACCAUCACAGGGGCAAAAUUGAUAUGGUAGAGUAAACUUUGCUAAUGAGUAAAAUCAUGAGUGGUGGGCUAUUCUGACUCCCUGGUGACCCAAAUCUUGAGCUGCAAGGAUGCUUACUUUGACUCAAACUGCAGAAAGAUAGGUAGGCAGCAGAUGCACAACAGCCUGGUUUGUACUUUUCCUUCCCUCCCCUGUUCUUUCCUUUUUCACAUGUGUUUCCCUUCGAUUUCUGUUUGAGAAAAAUCUGUGUGAGAUACUAAAGUUGUCUUUUGGAGAGCUGCUGUGAUGCUGUUAACAAACAUCCAAAAAGCUCUGUUAGAAACAACAGAGCAUUGCUGCAAUCCCAUGUUUCCAUGUGACCAACAGACAAUAUGCUGUCCUGAAAUUCUCUAGCAAUGAAUUUGCUAUUCAGUGCCAACACCAGAGAGAGCCUGAGUUCCCUUUCCCUGCAGCUCUUGGGCUGUCUUUGUCCCUCUCCCAUAGGACCUUGCCUCUGCAGGGAAGGACUUGGGCUCUGUCAACAGCUCCAGUAGAAUUUCCAGCUCAUCUCUGUGAACUGAAUAACUCUUUUCUCAAAUAGAAAAUCCAAUACUUUGUCUUUCUUCCUAUAUCUAUGCCUGUUAAACAACGUUGUUUUUCUCACAUGGACUUUAAACAGUGAAUGCAAAUUGGAGUUUUAAACUUAAAGCCUGACUUUUCUGCAUUCUAAAUAUGUUUAUUCUUAUUUUUUCCCUUACAUUUUUCUAUAUUUAACAAAGGGUUUAAAAGAUUUCCUGUGAUCCGUAUUGCCAUAGGGAUAAAUGAGCAUUUGAAACUUCAAACCCUAUCUAAAGUUUGUUUAGCAAUAUAGUUUUGUUCCAGUGACACAGGGCCUUUAAUUCAUUUGACCCUCUGGGUCUGUUUGCUUUGCUGAAAUUUGACUCAGCAAAGUUAAAUCCCCUUCUGUCAUUCUGCAAGACAACUCAUUUUAUGUUUGGACACAAACCAAUUCACUGCCAAAGCUGCAUCAUCAACUCCCCCCUAACAUUCCAGUAAGUGCUCCUAGGGCUGAAUAGAAAAAGAAAUGGUGAUGGUUAUUUAGAAAUGCUCCUCAUUUCUAUGGGAUGCUCAGUGAGUAUCAGAACAGUAGAUGGUGUAUUAACUACUAUGUUUACCAACACUCUUUUUCCUUGGCAUAGUUUAUAUAUUUAUCUAAGGGGAUCGCAGUCUACUGUCAUUUUAUUGUGCAAAAUUCUUGACUGGAUACCAUGAAGUAAUCUUUUUUUCCCCCCCCGAAUUUAUUUUUACUUGAUAUUUGGGUAACUGUUCUAUAAUGACAAGCUCUGGAACAAAAUCUAAAAGACAGGGCAUCUUCUGUAUUUGAAAGAUUUCUCCAAAUGACUGCAAAUAAGAAAAUUAUGGAAAUAUCUAUUCUCUUUAUAUUCCAUAUUGUUCAAUUAACAUGAUUUUCUCUUCCCUCUUGCUAUACAAUCAUGUGCAGAUUUUAUUUUGUCCCUGGUUCAUUUUUAAUACUUAUAUCUACUUAUUAUCAAACAAAACAGAGCAAUCAGUUGUUUAAGGACGUGCCGGAACAAAUCAUUACAGGAAAUUUAUAUUUAUUUCCAUGUUCAGGCUAUGGAUGGCUAGCCAGGGAUAUCUCUUUCCACUUAAAAUUGUCAAGUCCAUUGGAAAAGAAUUAGGAAUUGGUCAAAAAAGGAUUUUCCUCUCUUUUAUUUUUCCCCUCCUCAUCCCUUUUGUGUUAAACAUUAGAGUCCAUGAAAAGCAGCCUAUUACUGUAAGCUAUAAAGCAGUUCUUUCCCUGUUUCAGAGAAAUCUGCUUGAAAUGUGUGCAGCCUUUUUGAUCUCCAGGCUCCUGGUCUGGGCAAACAGAUGGAGUGUUUCUACCUGGGCUAUAAUUUUCUUUUCCUCUUCUCCCCUUUGAGCUAAGUCAUGCUCCCUGUUCAACCCAAGAGGGAAGGACUUCUAACCCAACACAGAGCACUGGCCCUCCACAGAAAGCUCUCAGUACUCUUCAAUCCCAGUGCACCAGCUCUUAUGGACCCCAAAGCAUAGGUGCACAUCUGCCUCAUUUCCCUGCACUGCCUGAUUGUAUUUCCACCCUCUGCCAAGCUGGUGAUGGCCACAGAACCUGAAGAGGGAAAGAGUGAAAUACUGCUUUCACCAAGGUAUAUAUGAGAAGUAAUUGUUGGUUGCUUUGAAGUCUGAAUCACUCAAUUUUCAGUGGCUUGCAAUAUCACUAACACAGUUUCUUUUUUCCACUACCCGUUAAAUGGAAGAAACCCUUCUCUUUUAUUUGAAACAUUGGUUUUCUUCAGCUCCCUGUAUUUCCUCUACAAGUCCUUAGGCGUUUUUCUUAAUAUAACUCUGUGCCUCAGCUAUUGCACCUCACAGGUAACCAUAUAAGAAGAGUGUGGUAUAUCUGACAUGACUCCUGUGACUCUGAUCUGACACAGCCCUGUAAUGCUACUGGGAUGUGAUUGCUACAUAGCAGUCAGCACCGAGCUAGCACAACACUGGGGGGAAAUCUUAGAGGCUGCAACAAGAAUGCAGCAACAUUGGGAAGAAGGCAGUGAAGUGUGGCAAAAUGUGAGUAAAGGAAUGGAAAGACUGAAAUGGAAUAUUAACAGUAAAUGCACUCAGGAAAAAAAUAUCAGAGGGUGAAGGCUCCUACUCUAUGCAGACACUGGAAAUAGGUACUGACAAUGAUAAUAUAAAAUUGUUUUUUCAUUUGUUAUACAAAAGAAUGUCCGUAAGAAAAAUGAGGUAGGAAAAUGAAAGGAACAGAUUAACAAAUGCACCUGAAACUGUGAAAGGUAUUGGACUGGCAUCAUUCCAAUGGCAAGAGCAGGAAUCAUUAACUUGAGCUAUUUAGCAUUCAUAUCAGGGCAAAACUGUAGAAAACUACAGAAUGGAAAAAAUUCUGCACUGGUCUGUUGGAUAACUAUAAAUAAUUUAAAGCAAAUUCUAUCUUAUAUUUUACAAAUCAGUGGACAACUAAUAAUGCUGUUACAUAGUUUUAUCACAGCUACCUCCUUUUAUCAGAAAAUGGUGGGGGGUGUUAAGCUAAUGUACAUUUCUUUUACCACUCCGAUUUUGGUUGUUCAAUUUUUUUCUAGGGAAAAAAAAGAGUUGUCAUCUUCAUUGCUUGAAACUGCUGCUAUUCAGAUCUGGUUUUACAUUAAUUCUUCUUGGUUUGUCAAUCACGUGUGAUUAAUCAAGCAGAAACUAAGAAAUAAAAUUAUGUAUUUUGUAAAGGUGAACUAAGGUUUCAGUAACUGUGAAACUGUGGGUAGGAACACUGUGACAGACUGUCAGGAACUCCAACUUGGUCUAGUUCUAGCUACAUUGGUGGAGUUACGCUGAACCAUAUUUUCUGAGAAUCUGAAUUUUAAGUAUCCUUGCUAUGUUCCUUAUAUGCAGUAUAAUCUCUGUAGAAAUAAUAACUUGGGAAAAUUUUGCUUUGGUCAAUAUCUGAAAUGAAAAUUAUGUCAUUAACUGUGACCCGUCCCCCAGGGCAAAAAUACACCCAGUUAUUACUUGAGACCAGAAAAAAAAUUGCAAUAUUCUCCUUAUUUUAAUCUUUUACUAGAUGAUGAAAAUGGCAAAUUAGAAAUUACUUCUGAGUUCCAACUUCAUUUUAACAUUUAGUAUAUCUUUCUGCUGCACAUUUAAUAUUAUUUCCAAUUUCAACAAUAUGUGAGAUAUCUCAGUAUUUGAGGUCCCUCACAACAGGCCCAUGGGACAGAAAAAUGUAAUUUCUGUGCAAAUGCAAACAGAGCUAUAGACUGUUUUCCCCAGGGAAGUAAGUGAUUGAUGCAUGUGUAUAUAUAUAAAAUAUAGAUAUGUCUGUUAUAUACAUGUGUGUGUGUGUGCAUAUCUAUAAACUCAAUCCAGUUGUGUUUAAGUCCAGAAUAUGACCCUGAUGCAUGAACCAUAAUCCUUGAUCCUAUAUCCUGACAUGUCAAAUGAUACCCUCAAAAAGUAUAUUGAAAUUCAUUAUACUCUAGACAUAUUACUAAAAUAUUCCUGUGGGGUAUGACUUGUUUGAAUAGAAGUACAAGAAAUAAAUUAGGCAGUUAUUUACUUACAUAUUGCCCACAGUUCUAUAGAUUUAUGUGGAAAACAAAUCUGGAGUGCUGCAUUGCACAACUUCGUAACACUGCAGUUAGAUUUUCUCUUGUAUUUACAGACUGGCUGAUUUUAAAAUCUAUUCAAGCACUGGAAAAUCAUAAAUAUGCAGCUCCACAGAUCUGGAGGUCAGGUUCCUGUGACUGUAAUACGUAUUUUCUUUUGGCAAAGCUCUCCAAUUUAGGGUCAAACUCUGCUUGCUUUUCUCGUGUUUGAUUUAGGAUGGAAAUACACACGAGUGAAAGAACAGGUUUUGUCAGAGUAUUGUAUGGCUACACAGUGCUGACUUCUCCAAACACAAGCAAAAAUAUGUACUAAGGUUGUAAUCUAUGAGGGGUGGAAUAUGACAGUGUUUGGUAGAAAUAUUUCUAAGAGGUCUAUCAGCACCUUCGUGAUUUCAGAGGAAAUCUAACUAAAAUAUGCCUGAUAUAUGGCUAUUUAUCCCUCCUAACCAGAACUUCUGAAGGCUCAUAGUUGAAGCCUCAUUUUGACUCCUCUGUUAAUAUUAGAAAUUUUAAAUAGAAUUAGUUAACAGAUGUAAAAGCUGGUAUCAGUGUUAACACCUUCAAUUUCUGAUCAUAAAUGCAAUUAAGAAUUGCCCCUUUAUUUUAAAUCCAGGACAGAGCAUGACUGAGAAGCUGGAAAGUGAGCAUCAUGGUACCAUCAAUGCUCUAUAACUCUCUUGUGAUGGGGCACUGUAGAGCUGCCACUGGCAUAGUCAUUGAUUUUUGAAGAUUCUCUUUCCUGCAGCCAACCAAAGCAUGAUAACCUCCUCCCCCACCAAAAAACUGGAACACACAGCAGUGCUGUGUUCGGGGCAUGACUGAACAUUUGAGCAGCUGACGUGGCACCACUUCAUCCCUGGCACUGCUGCCAAAAGGGUUGUGUAUCACAUCAUAACCCCAGAAGGAAUUUCUGUACAGCUGGAAAUUACAUCUGGAAAAGCAAAGGCAAAAUGAACCUUACCUAUCUCCCCCAGGUAUUACCCAAACAAUGACAUUUUUAAAAAGGAAAUGCUCUUAGAUGCUCAGCAUUUGCCUAGAUCCAUAAAUGUCUUGAGGUAACCCAGAGCAAAAUCUGUGGGGUUUAGAUAUUAUCUAUGCAAAGUUCCUAUAUAUAUAAUCUAUUCCUUUUAAUGUCAUUAUAAUACCCUAAGAAUUAAUACCAUAAAUAGUUCCAUUAUCAUGUAAUCCCCUAAGAAUUAACACCAAAAAUAGUGACAGCAGAAUGAACAAACUGGAGAGAAGCUUGGGAUAUCUCAUCCCUUAUGUCUUGGGGCUGAAAUGAGUCAUAUUUCCACGUCUCCUAAGGCAAAGAAUACUUUCAUGGCUGAGAGGCCAGGUUAGAGCCUUGACAUUUCUGUGCAGCAGUCUUGAGGUCUUUCCCGACACAGAUGGUUGAAGGGCUCAGAAGGUGUUAUUCCGAGUGACACAGUCCUGUGUCUAUCCACUGUGGCUUUUAACCAGGAUUGUGACUUGUUUAUCCUCUAUUUUAUUGUCCCACACUCUAUUCAGGGCUGUUCAGAGAAGUGGUGUAAUGAAACAGAAGAGUUGGUUUGGCUCCAGCUGGUCCUGGUGCCUGUUGUCCAGUGUGGGUUUGGUUUAGUUGUGGGGACAACACUUGGGACACAAUGACAGAGAAACUCAGAAUACUCAGAGGCCUUUGAAUAGCUGAAUAUUUUAUUUACUAGCUAGUUCCCACUGCAAAUAAAAAUUUUAGUACACAAGAUAAAAUUAGUUUUAUCUUUCUGCUAGGAAAUUUGUAGCAUGUUCCUUCGACUAAAAUUGAUAGACUCCAAAUUUUCUAAUAAGCUUUGCUUCUUUGAAAACCAACUGUCUAUAAACAGCAACAUGUGAAAGCAAAGCAACCCUUCUUAUUUUCCCUGUAGGUAUAGUCAGAAUCCUAUCUCCAAACAACCUUUAAGAAAGUUUUCGAUGCUACUUUUCUAUUCUUGUUAGUUCAGCAUAGCCAACAGUAAAGGCCUUCUUGACAUUAGGCAAAUGUGCAAUGAUGCAGCAAAAUCAAUUUAGUCACACCAAUGCAAAUCCCUCACACAGAUGUAAUGCUUGUGUGCAAAGUAGGGCAUUUCUGAAUAUACACAAUAUUUAAAAUGAAGUGAAAGAGAGAGAUCCUAUUCCUCCCAAAUGAUUCCUUAAUGUGAUUCAUAUAGGUGCCCCUGAAAGCCUAAGUUGAAAGAAAGGGACUUUCUGGUCAAAAAUAAGGGUUCAUUAGGAGUACUUGUUGAUCAGGAAGGAAUAUUAUGACCUUUAAAUUCCAAGUUGCAGUAGUUUAACAGAUGGAAUAAUACUUUAAAAAAUACCCUUUACCUUUAAACUGAGAAUAUCUGACCUUAAAAUCACUAGGAAAAGAAAUACAUGAUUGCAUAACUCCAUUAUAUGGUUACUUUUCAGAAGAGAAGUGAAAAUUAAUGUGUUUUUGGUCCUGGGCUGUUUUUAGUAAUUUAAUGUGAUCUGCUGUCAACAAGAGGGAAAACAAACCUCUGAUGUUCAAUAAGACUAAGAGAAGAAAAUGUACCUUAUUAUGGGUAUUCAGGAAAAGUUCUAUGGGCAAAAAAUGGCACAGCCUGUGAAGGCAUUAUUGAAAAACAGGUGAGGUCAGUAAGGAAUAGCAGUAAUGAGGUAAUGACCAUCUUCCUUUGCAGUCCGAAGAGGUUUGGGGAUUUUUUUUUCUUUUUCUUUGAUUUUUUUCUUUGAUAAAAAAUGCUUCAGCAAACUGUGAAUUUGAAGCAAAAGUUUUAUUAAUUGUGUAAGUGUCUUAGCUGUUAUGGAGGAAAAAGUUCCAAAUACUUCAUGUAUAUAAUUUAUUUACCAUAGUAAUAAAUGAAAUAUCAAAAUCCAAAUAAAAUAUAUUUAAUGAAAGCAUAGUUUUUAAUCAAAUACAGGAUAUGUUGCAAUACUUUUCUUUAAAAAGUAUUUUGAAUUUGGGGAAACUCUCUCCCAAUCUGAAUGGAAGCACAUUUUAAAACCUGAGAUCCUUUUUGUUAAAUGAAUCUUUGAUUCUUCUUGCUGCUGAAGACUCACACUAGGGAAGUGAAAAGAUAAGCAGAGCUUCUUUUCCAUAUACAUUCACCUACAACCUGACUGUUAAAGCAACAUUUUCCUCCUCCACCCUCCCUCAAAAAGGAGACUAGGAAGUCCCUUUUCAGGAAUGAAGUCAGGGCAGAAUCUCAUCCUGGUAGAUUACAGUCUCCCGGUAGAGCCAGGUGACUUGAGGAAACGCUGUUUUGUUCAUAUACUGCCAGGAGCUGGCAGUGCUUCAUUUUGUUCUAGCAGCAAUGCUAACAAGAACCUGAGUAGGAAACCCUCAUGAGAUAAGGAAUCACAGAAUAUGCUGAGUUGGGAGGGACCCACAAGGAUCAUGGAGACAGGGCAAGGAAAGUGCUCAGGUAGGGAGCUAAGCAAUCAAUUAUUACUGAAUUUCAAACCCACAGGCAAUACAACUAUACCCCCUGCUUUAUAAUUACUGAGAUUCAUCAGCAGGAGCUGUGGCCCGCACUGGGCAAUUCCCAAGUUCCUUGAAAUGAGUCUAAUACCCAAUGAGGUUACUUGUGCUGCUGCAGAAAGAUAUUUCUGGCCUUUUACGUGUCAGAAGAGAAACUGGAUGUGACAGAUUUGGAGCUGGCCUGUGAUAAUUUAGGAAUAUGGUCUGUUGGCCUGAUUAUUUGGUUGAAUAUCUGGUUUUAACUCAUCAGAGGUUAGCUUGCAGUUGCAUUCUUGAAUUAUCAGGGCUUAUCUGUGCUCCUUACACUGAGAUGCCCCACUUCCAUUGACACUGCACAGCCAGGGAGCACAGGGACUUGGAAGGGGAAGAUAUUAAGUUUUGAACCAUGGCAUCUCUACAUGGGCAGGGCUAGAAUCCUACUCAUCCCUAGGAGAGACAGAAGGUUCCAAAGGUGAAUUGGGAAUUAGGGAUGGGACCUGUAAGUAUCUGACAAAACAAGUGGAUAGAGCAUUGUUAUGAGACAUUAAUUGCAAUAUGUCCAUGUAUAUCUAGGCUGUUUCCAUGUGUUUGUGGAAUUUUCAAUGAAAGUAAAAACUAAAAAAUAUCUUUAGAAGAAAAAGGGGUUGUGAAUACCACAAUAAUUUCCAUCAGUUUUUAUCUAGUAUUGGGUGUUUGGAACUGGCAUGUUGCCUCUCAUCUUAGGCAAACUCCUUUUCCCUGAAAGGGAAUCUAAUGGGAUGAACCCUGAGUUAAUUUACAAAAGCAGAGUGUAUUCUCUGAGCAUGAAACCAAUAGGAAAGUGUGCAGAGGUGAUAUUAUUCCAUAGUUUACAGUGGAGGUAUGUUGCGUGGAGAACUGCAAUGUUGCGUGGAAACAUUACAUGGCAGUUGACCACUCCAGAGUGCUGGACCCAGCCUUACCUCUGGUGAACUUCCAGCUGAAACUGGUCAAGGAAAUCUCUUCUCAGUUGUUAUUUGCCAGGUGCUGGGGAAAUAGUUUACUUGGGUAAAGAGCACAAAUAAUAGGACACAAAAAAAGGUUUCCAAUAAAUCAUCCUCCAAUCUGGAAGAAAAGUUUUAUGUGUGUGCCUGUAUAUGUUGGUGACUGAAGUAUAAAAACCAGAAAGUUGAAAAUCCUAAGAAAAUUACCUGAACCAGGUAUUUUUUCUUACUCUCUCCUUACUGAAAGGACAAAUAAGUAUAGCUUGAUGGGUUCUUGAUCGUGGAGUUCCAAAAGGCAGCCUACAGAUCUGAGCUAUAUUCUAGAUCAAUUCCUAAUUCAGCCUUCAGAGUUUGGGAGGGACUAUGCUCAUUCAUUGCUUGUUCCAGAUAUUUUAGUAUGUGAAGUUCUCCUACUUCACUGUUGCUGGAAAGGUUAAUAAAUUAUGUUUGCCUAACCAUGAAUUCCUAAUGCAUUCAUCUUGCUUCCAGUGAAUAUAUUUUAUAUUUUACAGAUUUUGAAAACCAACCACAUAUUAAUAUGUCCAUUUCUCAAAAGGACACAGACCAAUAAAGGCUGUAUAUUCUUGGGACACAUCCUCCCAGUGACUGCUUUGUGUUGCUGUAAUAGAGUCUGGCCAGAAAGCUUCCAGAUCUAUGUCUUGGAUGACUACUGCGUCAAAAGCAUUUUUUAAUGACACAGAUGGAGCGCUGAGGCUGAGUCUCCUCUCCACUUCCUUCACUGUUGCCACAUAAAGGUUAAUCUGGGCUGGCACACUGCAAAACCCUAAGGUUUUUAGUCUGUAAAAAAAAGUUUGGAAAGAGACUGUUUAGGGUCACAUGGCUGUUUUAAGAGGAGGAAAUGCAGAUGCUGAUGUUUAGUGGUAAUCUGGGAGUAUUUGCAUCUGUUGCAUUUGCAAAGCCAAGUGACUACUAGAAAAUCUAGAAAUACAAGAAAGAGACAAACUGAACCAGGGACAAAAGGAGGAAAUUAGAGCCAGCAAGUAAAUUCUAAGUGCAAGGAACUUCUAGUUAUGAGAUCUCCAUUGAGAAAUUCUUCAGUGCAGCUGGCAGCCAUUUCUUUCUGCAGCUGAAGUUUCUGAAUGAUAACUUUUUGUAGAGCAUAUCACAGGAAUGUAAUUUACAAAGGGCAAAAACCUGGACUGCAGCCACAAAGUGUAUAUCUGAACAGAAGGCAAAAUGCUUCUGGAAUUUGCUUUAAAUGGGAUGUCCAGAAGAAGCAGAGGAGGUAGCAAAACAAAUUGUAAACAGAAGUAAUGAGUAGCAUAGCAAGGGAAGAGAGAAGCAGCCUCAGCUUCUGGAUGUUUCCUGGCUAGUCAUUUUGAUUUCCAGCUAUCAGCUUGUCACCAUCGUCAUUCUUUCUUCAUUGGUUUGACUCCUUGCAGUGAAACACUAGAGAGCCCAACAAGUCGUCUUCCUCAGAAACUGGACAAAACCAUCAGCUCUUUUCAGACAAAAGCGAGCACAGCACAUAUUGCCCUGUGGUGGGUUUGUCUACAUGACCUUUUCCAAAAGCCCCAAGCCAGCUCUGCCAGUGUUCCCCGAUGGCCAGGUGUGGUGUAGCUUGGCCAAAGCUGUGCACCCAGGUCAGUAUAAUGGGAUGCCACUUCUUUCACUGAUCGUUGUCACACUUUGCCUGAACAAUGUGGUUGCAUUUAAAAGCUUUUUUCCUUGCUCCCUUGUCUACCGGUACUGAAUAGUUCCUUAUCUCAGGGUGUUUUUUUCUGUUCCUCCAUGCCCUUUUGUUUCUGUCCCAAGUACUCCCAAUGCCAUCACUAACAGGAAGGCUCUACAUUCAAAUUCAAAUUAUGCAAGUUCAAACUUUCAUUUUAAAUCAGAUGCUGUUCAGAUGCCACGCAACUAUAGAUUUUACAGUCACAGUUUGAGCAAGCUUUGCAAACAUCCCAAAUAAACAAACUUUGCAGGAAAUAUAAUCCUAUUAUUUUACUAAUCUUUGGGACACUGCCUCACGGGGAUCAUCAUUUGCAACAAAGCAUCUACUCAGUUCAUUUACAGAGUGAUCUUUGUACCAUUACACAGUAUUGCUAUUUUCCUGUGCUAACAUCUGUUAGAGAAAUAGUUCAUACUAGUUACUACUACCUAGUUACAUACUACUACCUAGUUUGAUGAUCUUAUGACUUGCUGUUACUCCUCAUAAGUGUAUUAUUUACUGAGUUUCUGAUCAUGUUUGCUCUCAAUACUAAUCAAUCAUUCUUCAGUUAUUGCCUGUUCCUCAACAGACCCUUUCUAAUGUCGUUUUCGUUUUUGCUAAUUUUCACCUUGCAGAACCUCUACCAUCCUCCUUAACUUUAAUUCCAGAACCCAUUUCAUCAUUCACGGCAUGCUCUCAGCCUGCAAGCUCCUGUCACAAUGGAUUGUUAGCACAUCAUCAUAGGGUGUUGGAUAACCAAACCCAUAGGGGGGAGAAAAGAGGACUACAGGACUCAGUUUCCACUUGGUGACUCUUAGUAAAGGGAUAGAGGCAGCUGGACUGGGAGGCAGAAGGUACACUUCAGGAGAGUGCUUCUGGAGGCAUUUUCCCCUUAUGUGUUGGCAGGUCAGGGAUUGAGAAUGUAUGGCUUGUCCUUUCCACUGAUAUUCUUAAUCAGAGAAUGACAUUUACCUCUUAACAAUUCCUCAUUGUAAGCCAAAUCCUCACCAGAACAACCUGUAGUAUUGUUCUCCUGUUACCAUGAUAAAUUAGGCAUGUGAGACAUGCUGAAUCAUGACAACGCUCCUGUACACAGUUGUUCCUUGUGCUGAGAAAUUAGUAUUUUGUCAUGUACAGCUUUAUUAUGGUCCUCUUUAUUAUGGAACUGAUGUUAGGGUCUUCAAGAAGUUGCAAGAAAGUGGGAAGUAUACUAGCUGCUCUGGGAAUUUAAGCACAGGCAUAUGGAAUAUUCUGAGGAGCUUGGACCUGGUUUAUGGUUGAUCUAGCUACUAAUCUAGAUCAGUGCUAGAUCUAGCUUUGUUUCUGCGUGCAUACUUCAUAGAAGCUCACAGAAUCACAGAACAGUUUGGGCUGGAAGAGACCUUAACUAUUAUAUGCUUCCACCUCACCCUACCAUGGGCAGUUCACCUUCCACUACACCAGGUUGCUCAAAGUCCUGUCCUGAUAGAUAACACAGAGUUGCUGGAUAGAACUUCAAGACCAACUAACAAAAAUGAUAAAAGAAUGUAAAAGUGUGCACACAGGACGAUUAAUGUAAUCAGUAGAUAAACAGAUAGUGAGGAUUAGAGUGCCUUUUUGAGCCAAGUUAUGUAAAAAUAAGCAACAGAGCAUGUCCUAAGAGAAGUUCAAGGAAAUGUCAUCUGUAAUAUUGGGGGCACUUGGUGAGUACAACCACCAAAGACCCCUUCAGACAACCCUCUAGGAACAUUAAAAGACUUUGAGUAGGACGCAGCUGCAUACAAAUUAAUUAUAUGAAAAGUGAUGUUUAUGUGCCAGCCAGAAGUACACUGUAAUCAAUAUGUAUGAUCAUGAUGGAAUAAAUAACUUGUUGUACCUUCUGGACACACAUCAGAUUAAGAGAGCUAUCCUUCUGGUGUGUCCAGCACUGUAAUAAAGAAUGCCUGCUGUCUGAUACUCAGAAUUGUGUUAGAAAGUUUUGUUGUCUGAUUUCAGUAUUGGUCCAACAUUGCCUUGAACACUUCCAGGGUUGGGGCAUCCACAAUUCUCUGGGCAGCCUGCUCCAAUGUCUCACCAGCACAAUA